CGUGGGGUUUCUGUCCAGACCGGCUGCACCAUGUUGAAGGUUUCCUUUAAGAUCACACUGACGUCGGACCCGCAGCUGCCGUACAAAGUACUCAGUGUUCCCGAAAGUACACCUUUUACAGCAGUCUUAAAGUUUGCAGCAGAAGAAUUUAAAGUUCCUGCAGCAACAGGUGCAGUUAUUACCAAUGAUGGAAUAGGAAUAAAUCCUGCACAGACUGCUGGAAAUGUUUUUCUAAAGCACGGUUCAGAACUGCGAAUAAUUCCUAGAGAUUGUGUUGGAAGUUGUUAAUAUCUGCUGCUUGGAACAUAAAAUCCCCUUCCAGAAUAAAUAUUGGUAUUUUUAUUGUUGUAAAA